rnacentral:ncRNA from 2 species
AUGUUUGAUAGAGGUGCAGUUUUCAAUAGUAAGUUUUCUGAAAAGUUUGAGCUUUGAUGAAGAAAGCUGAAAGGGUCAACUGCCGAAGAUUGUAUCUGCUCAAAAAGGUACGGUCUGGUUGUACGGUUAAUAGCUGUAUGACUGUCAUCAAGUAAUUUGAUGGAGCGCUAUCAGUUCA